GGCGUGGAGGCCCGUGACGAAGCCUUGGGAGUGAUCCCGGGUCGAACGGCCUCUAGUGCAGAUCUUGGUGGUAGUAGCAAAUACUCAAAUGAGAACUUUGAGGACUGAAGUGGGGAAAGGUUCCGUGUGAACAGCAGUUGGACACGGGUUAGUCGAUCCUAAGCCAUAGGGAAAUUCCGGUUUAAAGUGCGCGCUACGCGCCGCCUGGCGAAAGGGAAGCCGGUUAACAUUCCGGCACCUUGAUGUGGAUUAUCCGCGGCAACGCAACUGAAGGCGCAGACGUCGGC
rnacentral:rRNA from 1 species